rnacentral:rRNA from 1 species
UGCAAGUCGAGGGGCAGCAUGAACUUAGCUUGCUAAGUUUGAUGGCGACCGGCGCACGGGUGAGUAACACGUAUCCAACCUGCCGAUGACUCGGGGAUAGCCUUUCGAAAGAAAGAUUAAUACCCGAUGGCAUAAUAGAACCGCCAUGGUUUUACUAUUAAAGAAUUUCGGUUAUCGAUGGGGAUGCGUUCCAUUAGUUUGUUGGCGGGGUAACGGCCCACCAAGACUACGAUGGAUAGGGGUUCUGAGAGGAAGGUCCCCACAUUGGAACUGAGAAACGGUCCAGACUCC